ensembl:lncRNA
GGAGACUGUUAAAAAUGUAAUGGGGUUAUUGUAGCACAUGGGAAUCAGUACUUGAAUGCAUGCACCAGAAAAGCAAAAGUGGGGUGACCUUGUCUGCAUUAAUUCAGGGGGCUGAGCUGAGCAUCUAGUGGAAAUAAAAAGAAAAACUAAUUCCAAGCAGGCCCCAGUGAGCAUGCUUUUAUCCAAAAAGCAAUCGGAGAGAGGAAUACGACAUACCAGAUGGAAUUGCUGAGGCAGAGGUGAAACUUAGAAACAACAAUAACGAAACACGAUCAAGUAUAAUUUUGACAGAAGGAAGAUAUUAGAAGGAAAAGGCCCCAGUGGGACAGUUUGGCUCAUCCUGAUCCCGAUAUUUCAUCUGCUCUCGGAAGACCCCAGGAGAAAGCUGUGCCACAGUACCAUAAGAUGUCGAGGCUGAGCCAGUCUGAUCACUGCAGUGCAUGCCGAUAGUAGGGGGAGGUGCUGCUGUGCCUCUCAGGUCUGUGUCUGCACCAAGCCCCUGGGAAGGGGGACAAGAGGUGCUGGAAUCUUAGUCCCACAGCAGUUUUCUGUCACGUUAUCCACCAACAUCACGGGUCCUGAUGGGAAAUUCAGUGGGAUAUGCACUGAGGAUGGUGGCAGCAGCGGGAAAUGGAAGGUUGUCCUCAAGAAGAAGAUAGAGGAAGGAGGAUGAGAUGUAGCUGUGGUUGAAAGAGAGCAAGGGAGAGAGGAUUGAACAUCCAGAGCAAGUUCAUUGGACAUGCCAGAAGAAGAGCAGAGGAGCUGCACUGGGGCCUCCAGGCUCUCGUCCUCACACUCGAAACUUCUGUCUAAACAAGGCUUGGUGGCUUUUUCAUGUUCCUGCUAACAGGAUGAGCACUCACCUCCACAGUGUUGUAGUAUUACUGGUGUACUUUUCUGCUAUCUUCACUGAUUGUAUUCUGCCUUGUUUUACUACGAUUGCUGUAGCUUUUGGAUGUAGACAAGUAUAUCAUCGUGCUUGACAUUUAACAAAACAAUGGCCCAUAGAGCUUAGAUCCUAUGGGAAUACCUUUUUCCUCACAAGGAUGGGCAAGCAGAGAAAGAUCUUGCUCACAGGGAGUGUGCAGUCUCCAUCUUUGUAGGCUUUCAGACUAGACUGAAACAGCCAUGAGCAACCUGUGCUGAUACCACAUCUGCCCUUUUUGAGCAAGUGGUAAGACUAGAGGCCUCCUGGAUUCCUUACAGCCUGAACUGUCCUACCAACUUGAUCUGCUUUUUUAAGUUUUCAUGUUAAAAAUAGACUGCUCUCUCUAAUCUGUAGGCAGAUACCAGCUAAGUUGUUGAUGGCAUUUUCUCUUGUCGUGGGGUUUCUGAAGGAUGCUGUUAUUGUGGGGAUGUAGACAGUCUGGCUUCCUUCGCACCUGCAUCUUAGUGACCAGGGCAAGUCAACUGUAAAUGUUCAUAUUUGUUAGGAGUAUUGUUUGUUAGCAGCCUUGCACUUUUUCCUUAAGCUCAGUUAGGUCAUUACUCACCGAUCAGUCACACUUCCAAAGGUGGCUGAAUACAGCAAAGCAUGUUGUUUUUUUCCCCUCUGGUGAUAAGUGCAUAUUUGCAUAGCCUUUUUUGUUUGACUUAGUGACGUUGUUUUCUUUCCUCAGAGAUGUGUACUUUCUCCUCACCCUUCCUCCUCCUCACCUUCCCUCUUCCAAAUACCUUCAAUGCCAGGAUGACAGCUCUAAGGCUGCUGUCAGUCCCUUGCAUGUUUCAGACCAAGGACUUUAAUCACAGCAUGAUGCCAUCGUGUGAGCAAAAAUGAUAUUGAUGGUGUUUGCUAAUAUACUGUUUUUUAAAAUGAAAACGUUAAAAAUAAAUAUUUUAGGGGAAUUUUGCAUAUUAAUACUCAGUGGUUUGAAUAUGUGGUAAUACUUUUUGCAUUUAGAAUGCUUAAUUUUAAAAGAUUAUUUGGAUAAAGAUCUAUAAUUAACUGAUAAACAUUAAAACAUUAACUGAUAAAGAUUUAUAAGGCUGCUGAGGAAAAUUCCAAGACUUUUCCCUCUCCAGUGCACUCUUUUAAGGAGUGAUAAAGGAGGAAACAUAGGAAUAUGGCCUUCAGUAUGGCUUAAAUAUAGCUUGCUUUAUUGCACCAUUGCUGAAUUAAAGUAAUUGAACUUGACACACAUUUAUUUAUUUAUUUAUUUAUUUAUUUGAGAAAUGCUGAUAGAGAGAGAGAAGUUGAUUUCAGCCUAAAUGUAACACUCUGUUUUCUGGGAGACUAUCUUGGGCCAAGAACUGCA